GCAAGACUGCAGCUCAAGCCCCCUGGCCCAUGUUAUGCUACCGCUCAAGAGUAAACGCAGAGCCUUCUGAUAUCUGCUGAACACACACGCUGCUCGCUCACGUUUAUAAUUAUUCAUCUGCAUCUGGUAAUGAGUGGCAUGGCAGAGCGGAGAACACCAAAGCACUGGGUCUCCUUCACCACAGUCUCCGCUAAUGCGUCCUAGGCUAAUGCACAUGUGGAAGCAUCUCCCAGACCUGUGGACAGCUGUGUGCCACCGAGAGAUUUGCAGGGGCAGGCUGCGACUAGUUAACAGAGUUGGCAAGGCACUCUGCACACGCUCAAGGAAUUCUAUACUGGAGAGCCAACUCCUAGGAACUGAAAGCUGGUUCAAGGACUAAUGCUAUGGACACACUUGCAGACCGACAGCUGGUAUAGCACAGUGGGGAGGACAGCCUGGUUGGGAGUCCAGAGUCUGAGUUCCAAUCCCCGCUUGUGUCUCCUGGCUGUCAAGAGCCAGCUAAAGAUCACCCCCACAGUUCCUCACUUUCUGCAUACAUGCUGGGAUUUCUGCAAGACCAACAAAAGAACCAACAUUUGAGAAUAGCAGUAGC